rnacentral:tRNA from 1 species
GCUGAAGUGGUGGAAUUGGUAGACACGUUGGACUUAAAAUCCAAUGGCCAUUAGGCCGUGCGGGUUCAAGUCCCGCCUUCAGUACCA